GGUGCAUGGUUGUCGUCAGCCCGUGUCGUGAGAUGUUGGGUUAAGUCCCGCAACGAGCGCAACCCUUGUGUGUAGUGGCCAUCAUUAAGUUGGGCACUCUAGAGAGACUGCCAGGGAUAACCUGGAGGAAGGUGGGGAUGACGUCAAAUCAUCAUGCCCCUUAUGCUUAGGGCUACACACGUGCUACAAUGGGUAGUACAGAGGGUUGCCAAGCCGUAAGGUGGAGCUAAUCCCUUAAAGCUACUCUCAGUUCGGAUUGUAGGCUGAAACUCGCCUACAUGAAGCUGGAGUUACUAGUAAUCGCAGAUCAGAAUGCUGCGGUGAAUGCGUUCCCGGGUCUUGUACACACCGCCCGUCACACCACGGGAGUUGGAGACGCCCGAAGCCGAUUAUCUAACCUUUUGGAAGAAGUCGUCGAAGGUGGAAUCAAUAACUGGGGUGAAGUCGUAACAAGGUAGCCGUAUCGGAAGGUGCGGCUGGAUCACCUCCUUUCUAAGGA
rnacentral:rRNA from 1 species